AAUAGAUACCCCGGUAGUCCACGCCGUAAACGAUGAAUACUAGGUGUAGGAGGUAUCGACUCCUUCUGUGCCGCAGUUAACACAAUAAGUAUUCCGCCUGGGGAGUACGAUCGCAAGAUUAAAACUCAAAGGAAUUGACGGGGGCCCGCACAAGCAGCGGAGCAUGUGGUUUAAUUCGAAGCAACGCGAAGAACCUUACCUAGACUUGACAUCUCCUGAAUUACCCUUAACCGGGGAAGCCCUUCGGGGCAGGAAGACAGGUGGUGCAUGGUUGUCGUCAGCUCGUGUCGUGAGAUGUUGGGUUAAGUCCCGCAACGAGCGCAACCCGUUAUCAUUAGUUGCUACCAUUAAGUUGAGCACUCUAGUGAGACUGCCACGGUUAACGUGGAGGAAGGUGGGGAUGACGUCAAAUCAUCAUGCCCCUUAUGUCUAGGGCUACACACGUGCUACAAUGGUGAAUACAAAUGAUGCAAUACCGCGAGGUGGAGCCAACCUNUAAAAUUCAUCCCAGUUCGGAUUGUAGUCUGAAACUCGACUAA
rnacentral:rRNA from 1 species